rnacentral:lncRNA from 8 species
GCGCGUUUUACUUCCCCACUCUGCACAAGGGAGCUGUAGUUCAGGAGCAAUAGUUAUAAUCACAGAGUUUCUAAACUAUAUAUUUGGUUCUAUUCCUUUCAGGAUAUGUUGUUCUCUCAAGAACUGUAUUUACCAAGCCAACUGUUUAUUGUUGUUACAGUAGCAGGCAGCAAAGUUUUAGUUGACAGGCGGUUGUGUGCAUCACUUUAUUUCACUCACAUCUCUGAGGAUAGGCAGCACUGAAGCCAUUGGUGGCAAAUUGCAUACCAACAUUAGCUCGUGGCGAUGACUCCUAAUAUGACAAAUCGUCUGAGGAUGAGAAACCCUCUACCAGACACCCAGACUACCCUACUGGAAUGACGCCCUGGAACGCUCCUCUCACCGGAAUGUCGAGUGUCCCCAGACAGACAACUAAGGAUGAGGAGGAGCACAAGACCAGUAAGGGUGAAGACCAACCACUGAUUCUGCCAGACCACAUCAACCCAAUCAUAAGGUGACCAUUCUGGCCUUCUGCCAAACCCUCCACUAUCUCCAACCCCCCGUAACUAACCAGUUUAUUUUCCGACUGUACAUACACAGUGCUG